GCGGCAAAAGCUCAAAUUUGAAAUCUGGCACUUUCAGUGUCCGAGUUGUAAUUUGAAGAAGGUAUCUUUGGGUCUGGCUCUUGUCUAUGUUUCUUGGAACAGAACGUCACAGAGGGUGAGAAUCCCGUGCGAUGAGAUGUCCCAGACCUAUGUAAAGUUCCUUCGAAGAGUCGAGUUGUUUGGGAAUGCAGCUCUAAGUGGGUGGUAAAUUCCAUCUAAAGCUAAAUAUUGGCGAGAGACCGAUAGCGAACAAGUACAGUGAUGGAAAGAUGAAAAGAACUUUGAAAAGAGAGUGAAAAAGUACGUGAAAUUGUUGAAAGGGAAGGGCUUGAGAUCAGACUUGGUAUUUUGUAUGUUACUCUCUCGGGGGUGGCCUCUACAGUUUACCGGGCCAGCAUCAGUUUGAGCGGUAGGAUAAGUGCAAAGAAAUGUGGCACUGCUUCGGUAGUGUGUUAUAGUCUUUGUCGAUACUGCCAGCUUAGACUGAGGACUGCGGCUUCGGCCUAGGAUGUUGGCAUAAUGAUCUUAAGUCGCCCGUCUUGAAACACGGAC
rnacentral:rRNA from 1 species